GCAGAGCCAGGAACCAUGGACAAGAUGAUACCUCUCUAACCUCUCAAAGUGCCAGAAGCAGAGCCAGGACCCAGUUGUAUCGUGCAAGUGACUGAACCUCUCCCUGUGGAAGACACAGAGGUUUAAGAGAGGGAGAGUGGAACAGUCUCCAGGAUAAUCAACAGCCGUCCAGAUGAGAGGAGAUCUUCCAGGAUUAAUGAAGAACCAUGAACACACUUGGAUCAUUCCUUUUCAAAUCAACUAAAUUUCAGAAACUUUCCCAGCUCAUUUUUUUUUUUUUUUUUUUUGAUUUUGUUAGUAUUUUUUUCUGAAGAAAGACAAACAUAAAUGAAGACAAAAGCCAAAAUAUUAACAUUUUCACACAUAAGUUUAAAAUAUUUUAGGUGACUCCUAAGCGUGAAUUCUCUUCAGAUUAUUUUAGAACAUUUUUCUAGAACGCUUCAUCUUAUUAUUUCCAUGGGGACGCGUCAUGCUUGUCAUGUGAUAUAAAACCUAACAGUUGUUUUAACUAAUCUUUUUUUUAUCAAACUUUACUUAAGGUCCAAUAAUUUGUUGAACUUACUUAAAGGGAUAGUUCACCCAAAAAUGAAAAAAAAAAAAAAAUGCUAUGGAAUCAAUGGUGCCCCAGAACUGUUCAGUUUUCC